UGGAGAACCGGUUCCCGUAAGAUCACCGAGGUUAAGCAACGCUGAGCAUGGUCAGUUCUUAGAUGGGUGAUUGCUUGCUAAUACCAGGUGCUGUAA